AUUGAACGCUGGCGGCAGGCUUAACACAUGCAAGUCGAGCGGGGUGAUGGUGCUUGCACUAUCACUUAGCGGCGGACGGGUGAGUAAUGCUUAGGAAUCUGCCUAUUAGUGGGGGACAACAUUUCGAAAGGAAUGCUAAUACCGCAUACGUCCUACGGGAGAAAGCAGGGGAUCUUCGGACCUUGCGCUAAUAGAUGAGCCUAAGUCGGAUUAGCUAGUUGGUGGGGUAAAGGCCUACCAAGGCGGCGAUCUGUAGCGGGUCUGAGAGGAUGAUCCGCCACACUGGGCCUGAGACACGGCCAGACUCCUACGGGAGGCAGCAGUGGGGAAUAUUGGACAAUGGGCGGAAGCCUGAUCCAGCCAUGCCGCGUGUGUGAAGAAGGCCUUAUGGUUGUAAAGCACUUUAAGCGAGGAGGAGGCUACUUUAGUUAAUACCUAGAGAUAGUGGACGUUACUCGCAGAAUAAGCACCGGCUAACUCUGUGCCAGCCGCCGCCGUAAAAC
rnacentral:rRNA from 1 species